rnacentral:rRNA from 2 species
UAGGGAAUCUUCGGCAAUGGGGGCAACCCUGACCGAGCAACGCCGCGUGAGUGAAGAAGGUUUUCGGAUCGUAAAGCUCUGUUGUAAGAGAAGAAUGUGUGUGAGAGUGGAAAGUUCACACAGUGACGGUAACUUACCAGAAAGGGACGGCUAACUACGUGCCAGCAGCCGCGGUAAUACGUAGGUCCCGAGCGUUGUCCGGAUUUAUUGGGCGUAAAGCGAGCGCAGGCGGUUUAAUAAGUCUGAAGUUAAAGGCAGUGGCUUAACCAUUGUUCGCUUUGGAAACUGUUAAACUUGAGUGCAGAAGGGGAGAGUGGAAUUCCAUGUGUAGCGGUGAAAUGCGUAGAUAUAUGGAGGAACACCGGUGGCGAAAGCGGCUCUCUGGUCUGUAACUGACGCUGAGGCUCGAAAGCGUGGGGAGCAAACA